rnacentral:rRNA from 1 species
GACGAACGCUGGCGGCGUGCUUAACACAUGCAAGUCGAACGAUGAACCCGGAGCUUGCUCCGGUGGAUUAGUGGCGAACAGGUGAGUAACACGUGAGUAACCUGCCCUUGACUCUGGGAUAACUGCGGGAAACUGUAGCUAAUACCGGAUACGACCCUCGGCGGCAUCGCCAGGGGGUGGAAAGAAUUUCGGUCAAGGAUGGACCCGCGGCCUAUCAGCUAGUUGGUGAGGUAACGGCUCACCAAGGCGACGACGGGUAGCCGGCCUGAGAGGGUGGCCGGCCACACUGGGACGGAGACACGGCCCAGACUCCUACGGGAGGCAGCAGUGGGGAAUAUUGCACAAUGGGCGCAAGCCUGAUGCAGGAGCGCCGCGUGAGGGAUGACGGCCUUCGGGUUGUAAACCUCUUUUCGUAGGGAAGAAGCGAAAGUGACGGUACCUGCAGAAAAAGCACCGGCUAACUACGUGCCAGCCGCCGCCGUAA